rnacentral:rRNA from 1 species
ACCUACUUAACCCUUUCCCUCCCAUUUAUCUCAUCUACCAGCUAUCCCUCCACCACGAACGCCACACCCCAACGCUUUUUCGAUAUAGAAAGGACCCUUACCCGCUAAAAAACCAGGCCGGCUUUUGGUGGUCUUAUGGCUUUUUAGAGGGACUGUAGGCGUUUAGCUUAAGGAAGUUUGAGGCAAUAACAGGUUUGUGAUGCCCUUAGAUGUUUUGGGCCGCACGCGCGGUACACUGACAGAGGCAGCGAGUUUUUUUCCUUGGCCGGAAGGUCCGGGUAAUCUUGUGAAACUCUGUCGUGCUGGGGAUAGAGCAUUGCAAUUAUUGCUCUUCAACGAGGAAUACCUAGUAAGCGCUGAGUCAUCAGCUCGCGUUGAUUACGUCCUGCCGUACCCGCGAAAG